rnacentral:lncRNA from 1 species
GCCUAUUGCUAUUCCAAAAGGAAAAUAUAAUAAUCUAAUGGUAUUGUCUCUAUAAGCGAAUGAGAAUUUCAGGAGUGGAUGUUGGUGCCACCCAUGUGAUCCGGAGAGGUUAAUGCAGUUAAAGUUAUUUCACAGUCCAUUAAGGAGCUUACGGUGACCCAUCGACCUUUGAGCCAACAACACGGAAUCCAUUAUCAUCACCACGGAGGAGCCGGGGCUCCGCUGGCUCGACAAUGGGCCUGGGAAAUCCCAAGUACAGAAAAGGACAUUGAAAUGAAGACGUCAAAACUGCUGACUUGGUUCCAUGUAUGAUAAUAUUGGCUACAUAUUGAAAUGGUGGAUACAGAACAGCAGUUUGCAGCCUCACGGAGCCCUGAUCCUCAUUCUCUUUCUUUCACAGACACACAGAGGCACUCUCAAAUAUAUUUACAGAGUAGCAAUUAUUGAGAAAGUAAUCACAGUAAAUUUAGGUGGGUAUAAUAAUAUAAUACAAGUAAUUAAUCAUGGGGUGUAGAAUUCAUUAUGUCAACAAACUAGAUGAAACCUCCUUGGGAGUGUGAUAUGAAACAAUAUGUAAGAAUGAUUUCUUUAAAGUGACAGGCAGAGAUAAUCAAUCACAAAACUAUCUGACAAAGGAACAUAUCC